GAGUUUGAUCUUGGCUCAGAUUGAACGCUGGCGGCAUGCCUUACACAUGCAAGUCGAACGGCAGCACGGGAGCUUGCUCCUGGUGGCGAGUGGCGAACGGGUGAGUAAUGCAUCGGAGCGUAUCCUGGAGUGGGGGAUAACGUAGCGAAAGUUACGCUAAUACCGCAUAUUCUGUGAGCAGGAAAGCGGGGGACCUUCGGGCCUCGCGCUCUUGGAGCGGCCGAUGUCGGAUUAGCUAGUUGGUGAGGUAAAGGCUCACCAAGGCGACGAUCCGUAGCAGGUCUGAGAGGAUGAUCUGCCACACUGGAACUGAGACACGGUCCAGACUCCUACGGGAGGCAGCAGUGGGGAAUUUUGGACAAUGGGGGCAACCCUGAUCCAGCCAUGCCGCGUGAGUGAAGAAGGCCUCGG
rnacentral:rRNA from 1 species